rnacentral:lncRNA from 1 species
CUCGACGUAUUAUUCUGCUUGAUCUGUCGUUUGGGAUCGUCAAACCCUAGGUCUCGUCUUCUGCUCCGUUCCGGCGCUCGAUGGCUCGUACGAAGCAGACCGCUCGUAAGUCCACCGGUGGCAAGGCUCCCCGGAAGCAGCUCGCGACCAAGGUGCGCAUCCUCAUAUCGCGGGCCGAUCCGCCUCUCGAUUUCGUUUAUCCCGAAGGCGUCUUUCGUUAACUUGUUUUUCUUGGACGAAGGCUGCGAGGAAGUCGGCGCCGACGACGGGCGGCGUGAAGAAGCCCCACAGGUAUCGGCCCGGGACGGUGGCGCUGCGUGAGAUUAGGAAGUACCAGAAGAGCACGGAGCUGCUGAUCAGGAAGCUGCCGUUCCAGCGGCUGGUGAGGGAGAUUGCGCAGGACUUCAAGACGGACCUGCGGUUCCAGAGCCACGCGGUGCUGGCGCUGCAGGAGGCGGCGGAGGCGUACCUGGUGGGGCUCUUCGAGGACACCAAUCUCUGCGCCAUCCACGCUAAGCGGGUCACCAUCAUGCCCAAGGACAUCCAGCUCGCCCGCCGCAUCCGUGGCGAACGCGCCUAAUUCCGGCAUGGAUUCUCGCUUGGUUAAUCUUAGCAUCUUUGUUCAAGAGAUUUGACCUGUUAAAUUAGAGGGGAUCAUAUAGGACUGCCGAUCGAAUGGUAUAUGUGUCCAUCUUUAUUUUAUCGGUAACUAUUUUGAUUGAAUUGUGCAUGUGUAGAUGAUUCUUGAAUCAAGGAUUAGGGUUUUCCGAUCGACGACUCUAAAUCAUGCGCCGCCCGUCGUUUGAAAUAGAAGCCUUAUUGGAUUAUUAAGAGAAGGGAGCAUGCGGAUAUUACUAUAGAGAUGGCAUUGGAACCAUGGGAAGCAAAUCAAGAUCGAUCUUGGUGAAGACUCGUGAUUGUUUCUGCUGUUUAGAUGCCCUGUAUUUGAUCCCUUUUCUCGUUCCAAUGCC